AGGGUUUGAUCAUGGCUCAGAUUGAACGCUGGCGGCAGGCCUAACACAUGCAAGUCGAGCGGAAACGAGUUAUCUGAACCUUCGGGGAACGAUAACGGCGUCGAGCGGCGGACGGGUGAGUAAUGCCUAGGAAAUUGCCCUGAUGUGGGGGAUAACCAUUGGAAACGAUGGCUAAUACCGCAUGAUGCCUACGGGCCAAAGAGGGGGACCUUCGGGCCUCUCGCGUCAGGAUAUGCCUAGGUGGGAUUAGCUAGUUGGUGAGGUAAGGGCUCACCAAGGCAACGAUCCCUAGCUGGUCUGAGAGGAUGAUCAGCCACACUGGAACUGAGACACGGUCCAGACUCCUACGGGAGGCAGCAGUGGGGAAUAUUGCACAAUGGGCGCAAGCCUGAUGCAGCCAUGCCGCGUGUGUGAAGAAGGCCUUCGGGUUGUAAAGCACUUUCAGUCGUGAGGAAGGUAGUGUAGUUAAUAGCUGCAUUAUUUGACGUUAGCGACAGAAGAAGCACCGGCUAACUCCGUGCCAGCAGCCGCGGUAAUACGGAGGGUGCGAGCGUUAAUCGGAAUUACUGGGCGUAAAGCGCAUGCAGGUGGUUUGUUAAGUCAGAUGUGAAAGCCCGGGGCUCAACCUCGGAAUAGCAUUUGAAACUGGCAGACUANAGUACUGUAGAGGGGGGUAGAAUUUCAGGUGUAGCGGUGAAAUGCGUAGAGAUCUGAAGAAUACCGGUGGCGAAGGCGGCCCCCUGGACAGAUACUGACACUCAGAUGCGAAAAGCGUGGGAGCAAACAGGAUUAGAUACCCUGGUAGUCCACGCCGUAAACGAUGUCUACUUGGAGGUUGUGGCCUUGAGCCGUGGCUUUCGGAGCUAACGCGUUAAGUAGACCGCCUGGGGAGUACGGUCGCAAGAUUAAAACUCAAAUGAAUUGACGGGGGCCCGCACAAGCGGUGGAGCAUGUGGUUUAAUUCGAUGCAACGCGAAGAACCUUACCUACUCUUGACAUCCAGAGAACUUUCCAGAGAUGGAUUGGUGCCUUCGGGAACUCUGAGACAGGUGCUGCAUGGCUGUCGUCAGCUCGUGUUGUGAAAUGUUGGGUUAAGUCCCGCAACGAGCGCAACCCUUAUCCUUGUUUGCCAGCGAGUAAUGUCGGGAACUCCAGGGAGACUGCCGGUGAUAAACCGGAGGAAGGUGGGGACGACGUCAAGUCAUCAUGGCCCUUACGAGUAGGGCUACACACGUGCUACAAUGGCGCAUACAGAGGGCGGCCAACUUGCGAAAGUGAGCGAAUCCCAAAAAGUGCGUCGUAGUCCGGAUUGGAGUCUGCAACUCGACUCCAUGAAGUCGGAAUCGCUAGUAAUCGUGGAUCAGAAUGCCACGGUGAAUACGUUCCCGGGCCUUGUACACACCGCCCGUCACACCAUGGGAGUGGGCUGCAAAAGAAGUAGGUAGUUUAACCUUCGGGGGGACGCUUACCACUUUGUGGUUCAUGACUGGGGUGAAGUCGUAACAAGGUAUCC
rnacentral:rRNA from 1 species